rnacentral:rRNA from 1 species
UACGGGAGGCAGCAGGGGGAAUAUUGCACAAUGGGCGAAAGCCUGAUGCAGCUAUGCCGCGUGUAUGAAGAAGGCCUUAGGGUUGUAAAGUACUUUCAUCGGGGAGGAAAAAACAAAACUAAUAAUUUUAUUUCUUGACGUUACCCGAAAAAGAAGCACCGGCUAACUCCGUGCCAGCAGCCGCGGUAAUACGGAGGGUGCUAGCGUUAAUCAGAAUUACUGGGCGUAAAGAGCACGUAGGUGGUUUUUUAAAGUCAGAUGUGAAAUCCCUGGGCUUAACCUAGGAACUGCAUUUUGAAACUGAAAUACUAGAGUAUCGUAGAGGGAGGUAGAAUUCUAGGUGUAGCGGUGAAAUGCGUAGAUAUCUGGAGGAAUACCUGUGGCGAAAGCGGCCUCCUAAACGAAUACUGACACUGAGGGUGCGAAAGCGUGGGGAGCAAACAGGGAUUAGAUACC